rfam:Dipodomys ordii contig_48020, whole genome shotgun sequence.
GGGAAUGUGGCUCAGUGGUAGAGUACUUGCCUUGCAUGCAUGUGGCCCUGGGUUCGACUCAGCACCA